rnacentral:rRNA from 1 species
CGCAGCGUAAUAAUAGAAACUAACCAGGAUUCCCUUAGUAACGGCGAGUGAACUGGGAUGCCAAUAUAAAAUAUGCACCUCGCGUGCAUAAAUUAGCCCGUCGAUACUAUCCUAGCGUAUGUACCGGUCUUCGGGUCGGUACUCAAAUACGCGGGAAUUGUAGCAUCGUAAUAAAAUAUACGGCACGCACACACACACUGCCAACAUGCGUACCACUUGUAAACACACAGCGUCUCCGCGUUGGAAAGCAAGUUUAUAUCCUCUUUGGAUAUGCCAUAGAGUGUGACAGCCACGUUUCACCCUAAAGUACGCACACACACAUACACACAACUCGUGCGAGUGCAAUACGUAUAUAUUCUAUAACCUGAGUCGAGUUAUUUGGGACUAUAGCUCUAAUAGUUUGGUUGGUGGUAAUGACACAUCAAAGGCUAAAUAUUGGUCAGUCGAUGCAUAUUGCGGAGACCGAUAGCAUACAAGUACCGUAAGGGAACGAUGAAAAGCACCCUAUUGAGUUCACGGCGCAGACUCUGAUA